GACGAACGCUGGCGGCGUGCUUAACACAUGCAAGUCGAACGGAAAGGCCCUGCUUUUGUGGGGUGCUCGAGUGGCGAACGGGUGAGUAACACGUGAGUAACCUGCCCUUGACUUUGGGAUAACUUCAGGAAACUGGGACUAAUACCGGAUAGGAGCUCCUGCUGCAUGGUGGGGGUUGGAAAGUUUCGGCGGUUGGGGAUGGACUCGCGGCUUAUCAGCUUGUUGGUGGGGUAGUGGCUUACCAAGGCUUUGACGGGUAGCCGGCCUGAGAGGGUGACCGGCCACAUUGGGACUGAGAUACGGCCCAGACUCCUACGGGAGGCAGCAGUGGGGAAUAUUGCACAAUGGGCGGAAGCCUGAUGCAGCAACGCCGCGUGCGGGAUGACGGCCUUCGGGUUGUAAACCGCUUUCGCCUGUGACGAAGCGUGAGUGACGGUAAUGGGUAAAGAAGCACCGGCUAACUACGUGCCAGCAGCCGCGGUGAUACGUAGGGUGCGAGCGUUGUCCGGAUUUAUUGGGCGUAAAGGGCUCGUAGGUGGUUGAUCGCGUCGGAAGUGUAAUCUUGGGGCUUAACCCUGAGCGUGCUUUCGAUACGGGUUGACUUGAGGAAGGUAGGGGAGAAUGGAAUUCCUGGUGGAGCGGUGGAAUGCGCAGAUAUCAGGAGGAACACCAGUGGCGAAGGCGGUUCUCUGGGCCUUUCCUGACGCUGAGGAGCGAGAGCGUGGGGAGCGAACAGGCUUAGAUACCCUGGUAGUCCACGCUGUAAACGGUGGGUACUAGGUGUGGGGUCCAUUCCACGGGUUCCGUGCCGUAGCUAACGCUUUAAGUACCCCGCCUGGGGAGUACGGCCGCAAGGCUAAAACUCAAAGGAAUUGACGGGGCCCCGCACAAGCGGCGGAGCAUGCGGAUUAAUUCGAUGCAACGCGUAGAACCUUACCUGGGUUUGACAUGGAUCGGGAGUGCUCAGAGAUGGGUGUGCCUCUUUUGGGGUCGGUUCACAGGUGGUGCAUGGCUGUCGUCAGCUCGUGUCGUGAGAUGUUGGGUUAAGUCCCGCAACGAGCGCAACCCUUGUUCACUGUUGCCAGCACGUUAUGGUGGGGACUCAGUGGAGACCGCCGGGGUCAACUCGGAGGAAGGUGGGGAUGACGUCAAGUCAUCAUGCCCCUUAUGUCCAGGGCUUCACGCAUGCUACAAUGGCUGGUACAGAGAGUGGCGAGCCUGUGAGGGUGAGCGAAUCUCGGAAAGCCGGUCUCAGUUCGGAUUGGGGUCUGCAACUCGACCUCAUGAAGUCGGAGUCGCUAGUAAUCGCAGAUCAGCAACGCUGCGGUGAAUACGUUCCCGGGGCU
rnacentral:rRNA from 1 species